ACAGGCUUUAAAUAACCUUCAGAGACAAGGUUAAUGCAAUGAUUUUAUUCCUCAGUACAAUGUGCUAUCCAAGCUGAAAAAGUAAAGUAAAUCUGAAAUAUUUCUAUGGAUAGUCAAUACAAUGUUAAACAAAAAUCUGCACACCAGUCAAGAUAUAAGACUUGCUUUUCCCAGAGAAAUCACAAAUUUGCAGUGAUACUACCGCAAAGGAUUCGGGGUGUGCAUAUGCAAAUUAGUUCAACAAAGAUUCACAUUUUUGCCUCAUUCCAUUUUAAACAUGGAUUAAUUUAAGUCUGUGUUUGCUGUAUACAACAGCUUUGAAACAACUGAGGAAAAGAUGCAAAGCAAGUGAACCACUCAUGGACAGCUUUUUCAUUGUUAAUGCAAAUCCUC